AGGGUACUGAGGUUUUCUGGAAUCACUUAAAGGCUACGAGCGCGGGGUCCACCGGCUCCGGGAUGCCAUUGGCUGCUGGAUUGGCGCAGGCGCUAUGGCUCCCGGGUCGGCGUUCGGAGUUGCUGAGGCAGGGCUUUGGCUACUGGACACUGUAGGUUCGAAUCCCAUCUAGGAACUUCAGUUUGCGCACCUGUAAAAGAAGCUGGUAUUAUUGGCUGGCACAGAAUGUGUUGGGGAAGUUUAAAAGGCAUUUUGGCUUCUGCCUUGCUUUCUGGGAUCUCUUGCUUUAGUGGAAGCCAUCCACCAUAUUGUGAGGAUACUCAAGCAGCCCCUUGGGGAGACACCUGUACCACAUAACUGAAGUAUCUCAGCCAAAAGCCAGCACUAAUUCAUUAGCCGGGACUUGAAGACUCUGAUCUGCUUGGUGGUGAAUAUCCCAGAGUGAGGUGUCUGAGCUCUUUGUUUUUAGGUCCCUGAUCCGUUUGUGGGUAUAUGAAUCACAUAUGAGUUCCCUGAUUAGUUUGUGGGUAUGUGUCUCCCAGGACAUCAUGUCUCGACUGAUCUAUGCAUGUACAUCUCUGUUCAGCUGAAUACUGGCCUUCAAUAAUAUCCCCGUCUCAGUCCCUAGUGAAAGUGUUAGUCAUUGAGUCAUGUCUGACUCUGCAACCCCAGGCUCCUCUGUCCAUGGGAUUCUUUAGGCAAGAAUACUGGAGUGGGUUGCCAUUUCCUUCUCCAGGGGAUCUUCCUGACCCAGGGAUCGAACCUGGGUCUCCUGCACUGCAGGCAGAUUCUUUACCAUCUGAGCCACCUGGGAAGCCUGU
ensembl:lncRNA